rnacentral:misc_RNA from 1 species
CCAAAACUUAGCUGUCUGGCCGCAAGGCUCUGACGCUUCAACCCUUUGUGAACCAAAAAACCUUUCGCUUCGGCAGCCGCGCCGGUUGGGAACAGCCUGCGCUUCAGCCUGCCGUUAGCACCAAACAUCAAAACUUGCAGUCAAAAACAUUGUCUGAUACCAAAUUUUCGAAUGAAAAUCA